UCUCAGAGACCAUCUAGAACCACCCCCAAUGCAGUCAAAGCAGGAUAUGGCAAUGGGGCCCAAAGCAUCCUUAUUUAUCACAGCUAAGACUUACCUGACAGGAUGGGUCAGGGCAACCAGGGCUGGGAGGGGGAGGCCUCCACCUGGGACCCCCCUCAGAAGGAGGAGGAAGAGGAAGAGGCUGCUGUCCAUCAUUCUGGAAGAGCUAGGGCCCCUCAGUGCAAGGAAGACCUCUUUCCACUCCUCACAGAGACAGCCUUUUCCCCAUCUGCGGAGUUUCAGGUCUGGGGAGGGGGCGUCUCCUUGGUCCGGUUCCCAAGACAGGGCGAAGCUGCAGCCUCAAAGGGAGGGGGCUGCUUCCGAGCCCGGACUCCUUUCGGGGCUUCAGGAGGGAGGGAGGGGGUCUCCCGCCCUCCUCGGCCCCUUUGUUGCGGGCGGGGAAAGACUACAGCCCCCAGCAGCCCCCGCGCCGCCCCCUCCUUCCCUCCCCCAUAGAGGGCGGGGCCUCAUGCAAUUCCCUCCUCUGGCUCCGCCCCCUGGGGGGUGGCACGUGGGGAGGGGUCCUCCGCCUUUCCCUCCUCCCUCCCUCCCCUGGCUCCUCCUUUUGCCUCUGGGUCCCAGACAAGCAUCUUGAGCGCUGAGCAUUGCUCCUGGAGCAUUGAUUGCAGCACAACAACAACAACACACCUGGGAGUCACUCUGGACUGUGCUCCCACUUACAAGAAGCACUGCUUGACUAUCAAGCAAAAACUGGACACUGGAAAUAACAUUAUGUGAAAGCUGACUGGCACAAGCUGGAGGUCACAACCAGGCACAGCAAAGACCUCUGCCCUUGACUUUACUGCUCUGCUGCUGAAUACGCAUGUCCAAUGUGGAACACAUCUCGCCACGUGAAAACAGUGGAUGCGGCUCUUAAUGAGACAUGCUGCAUGACUAAAGGAUGUUGACGCCCCACACCGUUGGAGGAAUUAUACUGUUUAGCUGUAUUGCAACAAGUUAAAAUAUGAACCAACAAUGUCAUCCGGCAGCUAAAACGCCAAUGGGAUGUUGGCCUGCAUCAAGAGGAGUCUCGUGGCUAGAUCCAGGGAAGUCAUGCUGCCCCUCUAUUCUAUUCUGCCUUGGUCAGACCACACCUGGAAUCACACUGGGUCCAGUUCUGGGCACUGCACUGGAAGGGUGAUGUUGACUCUGAGCUGAGAUGUGUCCAGAGGAGGGCAACUCAAAGGAUCAAGCAUCUGGAGAAUAAGCCCUAUGAGGAGCAGCUUAAAGAACCGGGCAUGUUGAGCCUGUAGAAGAGAAGGCUGAGAGGAGACAGGAUGAGGGCCAUGUAUAAAUAGGUGAGGGGGAGUCCUAGGGAGGAGGGAGCAAGCUUGUUUUCUGCUGCCCUGGAGACUGGGACACAAUGGAGCAAUGGCUUCAAACUACAGGAUAGGAAGGAGAGUCCACCUGAACAUGAGGAACAACUUCCUGACUGUGAAAGAAUGCUGUUCAGCAGUGGAACUCUCUGCCCCGGAGUCUGUGGAAACUCCUUCUCUGGAGGCUUUGAAACAGGCUGGAUGGCCAUCUGUUGGAGAUGCUUUGAAUGCGAUUUUCCUGCUUCUUGGCAGAAUGGGGUUGGACUGGACGGCCCACCAGGUCUCUUCCAACUCUAGGAUUCUAUGGUUCUCUAUCUAUGGCAAAGUGCGUUAAAGCGCUGAGCUGGAGACCAAAAGGUCCCAGGCUCAAAACCCAGGAGCGGGGGGAGCGGCCGCUGUUAGCUCCAGCUCCUGCCAACCUAGCAGUUCAAAAACAUUCCAAUGUGAGUAGAUCAAUACUCACAUCUGGCGGGAAGGUAACGGCGCUCCAUGCAGUCAUGCCGGCCACAUGACCUGGAGGCGUCUACGGACAAUGCCAGCUCUUCCGCUUAGAAAUGGAGAUGAGCACCAACCCCCAGAGUCAGACAUGACUGGACAUAAUGUCAGGGGAAAACCUUUACCUUUUUUACUAUCUACUUCUCCCCUCCAAAAAUGUUUUUUCUCCUAACUCAAGUUUCUCAUAGAACCUCACGCUUCCAGGGAAACCAAGUCUUUAGGUCUUGUCAUUAUUAUAGCUUUUAUUUUUACCCUGUUUUUCUCACGGAGAUAGAACCCUAAGUGACGCAAUAUUGAAAGGCACCCCAAUUAAAAGCAUACCAAAGCUAGGUAUUAAAACAUGGCAUGGAAUGCAUAACAGAAUUGAAAUACAUUGAAUGUGAAUUUAUAUGUGGAAUGCAUAACAGAAUUGAAAUACAUUGAAUGUGAAUUUAUAUGUGGAAUGCAUAACAGAAUUGAAAUACAUUGAAUGUGAAUUUAUAUGUGGAAUGCAUAACAGAAUUGAAAUACAUUGAAUGUGAAUUUAUAUGUGGAAUGCAUAACAGAAUUGAAAUACAUUGAAUGUGAAUUUAUAUGUGGAAUGCAUAACAGAAUUGAAAUACAUUGAAUGUGAAUUUAUAUGUGGAAUGCAGAACAGAAUUGAAAUACAUUGAAUGUGAAUUUAUAACUCCUUUUAAGGCCAGUUCCCUGACCCAAGGCAGGAUCCUCUUGUGUAUUCUUUGUACACAAAAACUUUUGAAGUCCUGUCUGAAUAAAAGGGUUUUGUCCUGCCGCCUGAAGGAUGGCAAGGAGGGGGCUGGCCUGGCCUCUGUGGGUUGGGAUGCUAGAAACCAGGCCCACCCUGACCCAUUUUUUGGAGCCUUGCCUUCAAAAGAUGGGCGCAUCCUUACAGCAUUCUUGUGAGGCAGGCUCAAAUGGAAGAGAGCUCUACAGUCCAGGCUGUGGCUGCAUCAGGGUCUCCUUUCCAAGGCUUUGCCCUACUGAAAUGAGAUGCUGAAUCCAAAGGUUGCAAUGGUCAGUUUUGAAUAUGAGCUAAGACUUAAAAGGAGUGUGUACUUUGAUUGUGCUUUUCCUACAUGGCAGACAAGGGUUGGACGAGGUGGUCCAUGCAGCCUCCUCCAACUCUUCCCCCACAACCCCUUCCCUCCCUCGGCAGCAUAAUAGACCUUUGUAAAGAUCUGAUUUAUUAACAAAAACUCCAAUACCCUUGUCCUCUUUUUUAUUUUUCUUUCCUUUUUGUGCGAGAAAAAAAAAGAGAAAAUGCUCAAUCAAAACUUACGGUAAAAAAAUGAAGUAGCAGAAGUCAUGUCAGAACCCGUGGCCAUCCUCUUUUUGAAAAAUCCUGGAUAACAAGAGGAAGUCCAAGCAGUAAAAUAAGGCAAACCUCCCUUCGGCUAUAAAUAAAGUUUCAUUUCAUAUCAGAUGUGGUCCCCAUCUUCAAAAAGUGGGAUGGGGAAAUCCUAAUGCUCUGAAUGUCCUCAGACGAAUAUGGUCUGCGUGGGAAAUCAACAUCCACCAAGGUAGGCGUGGGCAAACUUUGGCCCUCCACCUUGGAGGAAGAGGGCAGUGGAGCUUACUUGAGGGACCAUCCAGCCUCUGGCUACAGCUCUGCAGCCUCCCCCCCCCCCACUCCACGCCAGUGUGUGGAUAAGAGCGGAGGGGAAAGAACUUGCCAAACUCGAGAAACACCUUGGAGGAAGAGGGCAGUGGAGCUUACUUAAGGGACCAUCCAGCCUCUGGCUACAGCUCUGCAGCCUCCCCCCCCCACUCCACGCCAGUGUGUGGAUAAGAGCGGAGGGGAAAGAACUUGCCAAACUCCAGAAACACCUUGGAGGAAGAGGGCAGUGGAGCUUACUUAAGGGACCAUCCAACCUUUGGCUACAGGGGAAAGAACCUUGUAUAGCUUCUGUCCUAUUGAGCUGCUGCCUGCUGAGCACUUUAAAAACCAGAUGUUCGUCAAACACUUUGUGGGGACAGUGUUGUCGUCAUUACUGCACUUUUAAGUGUAGAAGGGGCACCAAUAAGCACUUUCCAGUAGAACUGAACUGCUGCACUGCACUUUAUGAACUAAACCGCUUACCACCUAUAUUACACCAAUAUUUAUUAUGAUAACAUCAAAUACCUAUUGCUGGACCCUUCUUUGGACUUGAAUUAAGC
rnacentral:lncRNA from 1 species